rnacentral:rRNA from 1 species
CCCAGACUCCUACGGGAGGCAGCAGUGGGGAAUAUUGCACAAUGGGGGAAACCCUGAUGCAGCGACGCCGCGUGAAGGAAGAAGUAUCUCGGUAUGUAAACUUCUAUCAGCAGGGAAGAAAACAGACGGUACCUGAAGAAGAAGCCCCGGCUAACUACGUGCCAGCAGCCGCGGUAAUACGUAGGGGGCAAGCGUUAUCCGGAUUUACUGGGUGUAAAGGGGGCGCAGACGGCGAUGCAAGCCAGGAGUGAAAGCCCGGGGCCCAACCCCGGGACUGCUCUUGGAACUGCGUGGCUGGAGUGCAGGAGGGGCAGGCGGAAUUCCUGGUGUAGCGGUGAAAUGCGUAGAUAUCAGGAGGAACACCGGUGGCGAAGGCGGCCUGCUGGACUGCAACUGACGUUGAGGCCCGAAAGCGUGGGGAGCAAACAGGAUUAGAUACCCCAGUA